CCCUAGUAUAUAUAUAUAUUAUCUUAUUAGUAAAAAGUUGAAAAUAAAUAUUUUUGGCGGUUAAUUAUUUAUUAGAGGAGCUUGUUGAUUGAUAAGAAUUUACUCUUUAUAUUUAAGUGAAAAUAGCCUAUUCAUCUCCGUUAUUAGAUAACUCGAUAAAAUCAAUUUUUUUUUAUUUCAGGUCAAGAUGUAGCAUUUUUUACUUUUAAUUAGCUACAUUUAUGAAUAAUUGGAUUUCAGGUUUUUAAGGUGAAGGAAAUUGGAUUUAAUUGUAAUAUUUAUUAUAGUGUAAGUAUGAAUUGGUUUAAUUGAUGUA
rnacentral:rRNA from 1 species